CGCGUAGGCGGACUAAUAAGUCAGUGGUGAAAUCUUUCGGCUCAACCGGGAAACUGCCAUUGAUACUGUUAGUCUUGAGUUCGGUUGAGGUAGGCGGAAUGUGUAAUGUAGCGGUGAAAUGCUUAGAUAUUACACAGAACACCAAUUGCGUAGGCAGCUUACUAGACCGACACUGACGCUGAGGCACGAAAGCGUGGGGAGCGAACAGGAUUAGAUACCCUGGUAGUCC
rnacentral:rRNA from 1 species